UACAUCAGUGGCGGACGGGUGAGUAACACGUGGGUAUCUACACCAUAGAGGGGGACAACCAUUGGAAACGAUGGCUAAUACCGCAUAUUAUCGAGAGAUGAAAGAUUUAUCGCUAUGGAAUGAGCCCGCGUAUGAUUAGUUAGUUGGUAGGGUAAUGGCCUACCAAGACGAUGAUCAUUAGCUGUUCUGAGAGGAAGAUCAGCCACACCGGAACUGAGACACGGUCCGGACUCCUACGGGAGGCAGCAGUGGGGAAUAUUGGACAAUGGGGGCAACCCUGAUCCAGCGAUGCCGCGUGAGUGAUGAAGGCCUUCGGGUUGUAAAGCUCUUUAGCCGAUGAAGAUGAUGACUGUAAUCGGAGAAUAAGCCCCGGCAAACUUCGUGCCAGCAGCCGCGGUAAUACGAAGGGGGCUAGCGUUGUUCGGAAUGACUGGGCGUAAAGCGUACGUAGGCGGUUAUGUAAGUUAGGCGUGAAAGCCCUGGGCUUAACCU
rnacentral:rRNA from 1 species